rnacentral:piRNA from 1 species
UCCAAUUCAGAAACCUGUGGUGACUCACCU